AAUCAACGCUGGCGGCGUGCCUCAGACAUGCAAGUCGAACGAUUAAGACCUCCUUCGGGAAGUGUAUAAAGUGGCGCACGGGUGAGUAACACGUAAGUAAUCUACCUUCGAGUGGGGAAUAACGUCGGGAAACCGAUGCUAAUACCGCAUAAUGCAGCGGCAUCGCAAGAUGACAGUUGUUAAAGGAGCAAUUCGCUUGAAGAGGAGCUUGCGGCAGAUUAGCUAGUUGGUAAGGUAAUGGCUUACCAAGGCUACGAUCUGUAUCCGGUCUAAGAGGACGGUCGGACACACUGACACUGAAUAACGGGUCAGACUCCUACGGGAGGCAGCAGUCGGGAAUUUUGGGCAAUGGGCGAAAGCCUGACCCAGCAACGCCGCGUGAGGGAUGAAGUAUUUCGGUAUGUAAACCUCGAAAGAAUGGGAAGAAUAAAUGACGGUACCAUUUAUAAGCUCCGGCUAACUACGUGCCAGCAGCCGCCGUAACAC
rnacentral:rRNA from 1 species